GUGAGUGGGGCUGGCUCACAGCUGAGGGCAUGGAGCAAAUGUGACUGGAAGCAGGGUUGCGCGCCGUGGGAGGGCAGGGCAGGGAGCAAGGGGACGUCGGAAAUGCCCCCUCCGGGUCCAGCCAUCCAAAGAGACGGAUCAGCAACAGAGAACCUGUAAGACUGAGCAAGCAAGUUUGGGAGGCAGACUGGAAAGAUUGCCAGCAUCUGGGGAGACUUAAGUAAUGGGAGCUUUUCAGAGGAUGUCCAGGGCAAAGGAUGUUGGUGGGGCAGAGCUGCAGAGGGUGCCAAGCACAUUCCUGCCAUCCGUGAGACAGAGCUAACAAAUGUCUCUCUUCCACAGAUCUUGCGAAGACCAAAGCAGUCCAGCAGCUCAGAAGAAAUCAUUGAAGAAAGUUGCAGGUACAAGCCCUUAGAAGCAAAGCACCCAGAAGCUGGGGGAUGGAUGCUCAGGACUGUAGGAAGGUCAGCAUACUUGGAGGAUUUUGUUUUCUUCCAGUGGAGUGGAUGGAGUGAAAAACAGAAAGAAAACAGAGGAAAGUUCAGAGAUCUUUGAAUGAUUGAAGAUGAUAAUAUCAUCCAAGAAAAUCAUAGGCAUUAGAGUGUUUGUUGCACAGCAGUUACUGGAGAGAAAGAUGUUCUUUAUUUUGUUUUCAACUUCACAUCUCAGCAGCUUUGCAGAGUGCCUGGUACCUAAAACCUCUCUGUCAUAUCAUAAGAAAAGAAUGUGUGCAUCUUGACCUUCCUUCCCACUGCGGUCCAUCCAGAGCUCCUGGAAAUGAACACCUUUGACAACGGAUCUGUGACACCUGACCCUAAAGACCAGUUGGGCUGAAUAUCUGCCCAACAGAAACAUUUGAGCACAAAAUACAGCUAUUGUCUUAAUGUGUUUCAUCAGUGGGGACUAGUUUGAACAUUCUGUCCUAUAAUUGUUUUCCGGGUUUAGCUUUUUGUCCACUGUGAAGGCAUGAAGCAAGCAUUUUGAGUUCUCAAUCUGGUAAAACACUGAUUGCUACAUUCACUAAAUUGAAUGUGAUGGUUAAUUUUGUGUGUCAACUUGACUAGGGUAGGGAAUACCCAGAUAUUUGCUCAAAUAUUUUUCUGGGUGUUUCUGUGAGGGUACUUUAGUGAGACUAGCAUUUAAAUUGAUAGCCUGAGUAAAGCAGAUUGCUCUCCUAACGUGGGUGAGCCUCACCAAUCGACUGAAGGCCUGAAUAGAACAAGAAGGCUGAGACCUCCUCCAAGUAAGAGAGAAUUCUUCCAGCCUGAUGGCCAUUGAACAGAGACAUUGGCUUUUUUCCUGCUUUUAGAUUGGAACUGAAACAUCAGGUCUUCCUGUGGCUUGAGCCUGCCAGCCUUCAACUAGAACUACACUGUUGGCUCUUUGGGGUCUCCAUCUUGCGGAUUCACCCUGUAGAUCUUGGGAUUUGCCAACCUAACAUAACCAUGUGAUCCAAUUUCUUAUAAUGGAUCUGUAUCUAUAUCCAUAUCCAUAUCCGUAUCUGUAUCCGUAUCUGUAUCCAUAUCUGUAUCUGUAUCUAUAUCUGUAUCUGUCUAUACACAUAUCCUAUUGCUUCUAUUUCUCUGAAGAACCUUGACUAAUAAAAUGGACAAUCGGAAUUUCUGGUGUGGUUUAGGGUAGACAAAAAAGAUCUCCUGAUGGGUAAAGUGGCAGUGAUGAUAACAAUACGUGG
ensembl:lncRNA